UAAUACGUAGGGUGCGAGCGUUAAUCGGAAUUACUGGGCGUAAAGCGUGCGCAGGCGGUUUCGUAAGCUGGAGGUGAAAUCCCCGGGCUUAACCUGGGAAUGGCCUUCAGGACUGCGAGGCUAGAGUGCGGCAGAGGGAGGUGGAAUUCCACGUGUAGCAGUGAAAUGCGUAGAGAUGUGGAGGAACACCGAUGGCGAAGGCAGCCUCCUGGGCCAGCACUGACGCUCAUGCACGAAAGCGUGGGGAGCAAACAGGAUUAGAUACCCUGGUAGUCCACGCCCUAAACGAUGUCAACUAGGUGUUGGGGAAGGUGACUUCCUUAGUACCGCAGCUAACGCGUGAAGUUGACCGCCUGGGGAGUACGGCCGCAAGGUUAAAACUUAAAGGAAUUGACGG
rnacentral:rRNA from 1 species